rnacentral:lncRNA from 1 species
CUUGGUGGCGCGCAGUUCCCGCUGACUGUGCGCGCCCCCGUCUUGGCUCCUUUGCAGAGGACUCGGUAGCUGCAGCUCCCGGAGCACAGCGGACAGAGCUGCGGGCUGCGCGCGCCACUGCUGCCCCGGGCCUGCCGCGGUGGCUCCCGCGCCCCGCGGCGACUUCCGCGCCCGCGCUUCCCUUUGUUCAAUUCCCCGAGCGGCGGUGGGGUCCGAGCCCGCGCCCUGGGCGACUGAGGCGGCCACAGUCCGCGCCCCGGCGCCGUGGCGAUGCCGGACCAGAUCUCUGUGUCGGAAUUCGUGGCCGAGACCCUUGAGGACUACAAGGCGCCCACGGCCUCUAGCUUCACCACGCGCACGGCCCAGUGCCGGGACACCGCGGCGGCCAUCGAGGAUGCAGUGACUUAUGAUGAUGUGCAUGUGAACUUCACUGGGGAAGAGUGGAAUUUGCUGGAUCCUUCUCAGAAGAGUCUCUACAAAGAUGUAAUGCUGGAGACCUACUG